UACGGGGGGAGCAAGCGUUGUUCGGAUUUACUGGGCGUAAAGGGCGCGUAGGCGGUCAGCACAAGUCAGUUGUGAAAUCUCCGGGCUUAACUCGGAAAGGUCAACUGAUACUGUGCGACUAGAGUGCAGAAGGGGCAACUGGAAUUCUCGGUGUAGCGGUGAAAUGCGUAGAUAUCGAGAGGAACACCUGCGGCGAAGGCGGGUUGCUGGGCUGACACUGACGCUGAGGUGCGAAAGCGUGGGGAGCAAACAGG
rnacentral:rRNA from 1 species